AAUUUUUUUAAUAAUUACUCUGUGCUUUAUGUCCUUAAUAGAAAAUAUUGAUGCUAAGAGGAUUUCAAAAUAUGUCAAUGAUGAUAAAGAAGAAGUAAUUGUCUAUGAUAAUGGCGAUACAUAUUAUAAGAAUAAAGUAACCGGUGAAAUUAUUAUGAAUAACAGAGGAUGAGGAUUUGCAAUUCAGUGGGAAGAAGUCUUCCAAAACUAAAUUUUGAUUUGUAUAUUUUUUAUGCUUUUUCAUAAUUGUGUUGAUUUUUAUUUCUUUAAUAAAAAAUAUAUUUAAUUUAAUUUUUAUA